rnacentral:rRNA from 1 species
UACGUAGGGUGCAAGCGUUGUCCGGAAUUAUUGGGCGUAAAGAGCUCGUAGGCGGUCUGUCGCGUCGGCUGUGAAAUCCCGAGGCUCAACCUCGGGUCUGCAGUCGAUACGGGCAAACUAGAGUAUUGCAGGGGAGACUGGAAUUCCUGGUGUAGCGGUGAGAUGCGCAGAUAUCAGGAGGAACACCGGUGGCGAAGGCGGGUCUCUGGGCAGUAACUGACGCUGAGGAGCGAAAGCGUGGGGAGCGAACAGG